rnacentral:rRNA from 1 species
GGACGAAAGUCUGACGGAGCAACGCCGCGUGAGUGAUGAAGGUUUUCGGAUCGUAAAGCUCUGUUGUUAGGGAAGAACAAGUGCGAGAGUAACUGCUCGCACUUUGACGGUACCUAACCAGAAAGCCACGGCUAACUACGUGCCAGCAGCCGCGGUAAUACGUAGGUGGCAAGCGUUGUCCGGAAUUAUUGGGCGUAAAGGGCUCGCAGGCGGUUUCUUAAGUCUGAUGUGAAAGCCCCCGGCUCAACCGGGGAGGGUCAUUGGAAACUGGGAAACUUGAGUGCAGAAGAGGAGAGUGGAAUUCCACGUGUAGCGGUGAAAUGCGUAGAGAUGUGGAGGAACACCAGUGGCGAAGGCGACUCUCUGGUCUGUAACUGACGCUGAGGAGCGAAAGCGUGGGGAGCGAACAGGAUUAGAUACCCUGGUAGUCCACGCCGUAAACGAUGAGUG